AUGCACGCAAAUAUGGGCCUCACAGCCUGUGCACUUGUACCAGACAGCCACAGAGGGGACCCUGGGCCUCUCAGCACCAACAGGGAAGUGCCAUCAGAGCCACGACACACAGCCUGCCGGCCAGCUUGGGAGCAGUGUGGUGUGUUUGCUCACAGGAACCGCUCCUUUGCAACCUGGCGGUCCGGCAGCUGUUUGAAGCAGGCCAGGCCCAGGGAGGCGCGGGGACUCCUUAACCGCGCUCCCCGAGGGGCCCCCGCGCCGGACCCACGUGCGCCGGAGCUGUCCGCUGUGCUGAACUCUGCUCCCGCGGAGAAGCGAGAGGACUGCGCCGCCGUCGUGGGCUGAGGACCGCUAGGGGACAGCCGGUCCCCUCCCUCCCCGGAGCGACUUCCCGCCCGCCGAGCCCCGCUCCCCAGGUAGGACCAUGCUCCUGGGUCUGACCUGCGUGGACUGCGACGCCUCUACAUUGAAUA
rnacentral:lncRNA from 1 species